UUACAAUGGACAGCACAUUGGAAUGAUUGGCUGCGCAUUCGGAUGGUUUAAAAAAGCAAAUAGUAUUGGCUGACCCAAAACACUCAGCAGAAUCCUCAGCACAUAUUUGACUAGGUUCCUCCCCAUAGCCCACAUACCAUGUUGUUUUCUCAUUACUGCUCCUCUUUUAGGCUAGCUGCUGAUUGGAAUUUUUGUGCAAGAUUCAUCCCUUCAUGGAGCUUUCAGACAAGGCCACUCAGAAGCCGCCUCAGAGUCGCCCCAAGGCUACAGCCUACCUGGAGAAAGCUAUGGUCCAUUCAGUCACAGAGCUGGACAGGAACAAGUAGUAAUCCAAGCUUAAAGAUCAUAGCAGCAUUCUAG
rnacentral:lncRNA from 1 species